rnacentral:rRNA from 1 species
UACAGAGGGGGCAAGCGUUGUUCGGAAUUACUGGGCGUAAAGGGCGCGUAGGCGGCCGGCUAAGUCGAACGUGAAAUCCCCGGGCUCAACCCGGGAACUGCGUCCGAUACUGGUCGGCUUGAAUUCGGGAGGAGGGAUGCGGAAUUCCAGGUGUAGCGGUGAAAUGCGUAGAUAUCUGGAGGAACACCGGUGGCGAAGGCGGCAUCCUGGACCGACAGUUGACGCUGACGGCGCGAAAGCCAGGGGAGCAAACGGG